AGCAAGAAAUGUGCAAUCACCUUCAAAAUCAAUCCUGCCAUCGCCGUCGAUGUCGACCUCAGCAAUCAUUUCAUCAACUGCCAGCAAUCAGGUUAUCAUGGCCAAACAAGAACAAAUUCGCUGAAAGGCGGACUCAUCGACCCUCGCCCUUGGCAACAACUCCACUCUACUUUUUCCUCGAAGAUUGAUUAGCUUGAACGAGUGAAAAAUCAACAUCGGUCUCAGUGGUUCUUUGUCUCACUUAACUGCUAGCAGUUUUCCAUUCUUCGCUCCGGGCAUUACUGUGCAAAGACAAAUGCUGAAAAUUCAUAGACUUGAAAGAAAGGAGACCUACCUAGCAUACUUGAGAAAGUCAAUGCGGCGUGGAAAGAUCAUCGGCAGUAUGAA